rnacentral:snRNA from 1 species
AUAGCUUCUCAACCUUUUGGCUAAGAUCAAGUGUAGCAUCUGUUCUUCUCAUUUUAAUAUCUGAUACAUCCUUUAUGUGAGGACAAUAUAUUAAAUGGAUUUUUGGAGAGUUGAUGAUGGACAGGGAAGCCUGGCAUCCUGCAGUCCAUGGGGUUGCAAAUAGUCGGACCCAACUGAGCAACUGAAC